rnacentral:rRNA from 1 species
CCUACGGGAGGCAGCAGAGAGGAAUAUUGGUCAAUGGACGCAAGUCUGAACCAGCCAUGCCGCGUGCAGGAAGACGGCUCUAUGAGUUGUAAACUGCUUUUGUACGAGGGUAAACGCAGAUACGCGUAUCUGUCUGAAAGUAUCGUACGAAUAAGGAUCAGCCAACUCCGUGCCAGCAGCCGCGGUAAUACGGAGGAUUCAACCUUUAUCCGGAUUUAGUGGGUUUAAAGGGUGCGUAGGCGGUCGGAUAAGUUAGAGGUGAAAUCCCGAGGCUCAACUUCGGAAUUGCCUCUGAUACUGUUCGGCUAGAGAGUAGUUGCGGUAGGCGGAAUGUAUGGUGUAGCGGUGAAAUGCUUAGAGAUCAUACAGAACACCGAUUGCGAAGGCAGCUUACCAAGCUACUUCUGACGUUGAGGCACGAAAGCGUGGGGAGCAAACAGGAUUAGAUACCCGAGUAGUC